rnacentral:rRNA from 1 species
AUUGAAUGCUGGCGGCAGGCCUAACACAUGCAAGUCGAGCGGGGUUUUCGGACCUAGCGGCGGACGGGUGAGUAAUGCGUAGGAAGCUGCCCGAUAAAGGGGGAUACCAGUUGGAAACGACUGUUAAUACCGCAUAAUGUCUACGGACCAAAGUGUGGGACCUUCGGGCCACAUGCUAUCGGAUGCGCCUACGUGGGAUUAGCUAGUUGGUGAGGUAAUGGCUCACCAAGGCGACGAUCUCUAGCUGGUUUGAGAGGAUGAUCAGCCACACUGGAACUGAGACACGGUCCAGACUCCUACGGGAGGCAGCAGUGGGGAAUAUUGGACAAUGGGCGCAAGCCUGAUCCAGCCAUGCCGCGUGUGUGAAGAAGGCCUUCGGGUUGUAAAGCACUUUCAGCGAGGAGGAAGGGUGGUGUGUUAAUAGCACAUCAUUUUGACGUUACUCGCAGAAGAAGCACCGGCUAACUCUGUGCCAGCAGCCGCCGUAAGAC